rnacentral:misc_RNA from 1 species
CAACCCUCAGCUCCCUCCUUUCGGGGAGGGUAGCUGGUGCUGGGGAUCAGCCCUUCAGAAGGCUGUCCCCCAAAUACAGUGGCGGUCUCGCUGUAGCCCCCUUGCGUAGUAGCACAUCUCGCACCGGAGCCUCGACGUGACCACGCCGUAAAACCCCCAACUUUAUACU